ensembl:lncRNA
AGUUCAAAUUGGGGCUUUUUUCUAAAUUCUGCAAUUUCUCUAUGUGUGUGGUCCAGAGAGUGAGGACUCGCAUGUAGAAAUAGAUUAACAAGAAGAGUGGUCAAUGUGGUCGGAGUACAGAGGAAUCAGGAAUGAGCCCACAAGACCAAACUUUCCAUUUGCUUCCUUUUUUAAGGUAGCAUCUGCUUGGACUCGGGUUUCAUAAGCAGCUUUCUGGACCAGCAGGAAAUGCUCAGGCACAAAUCGAGGUCAAGCCUUUUACAAACACGUGACGCCGACUCCAGUAAGUAAGUA